CAAUAGCGUAUAUUAAAGUUGUUGCGGUUAAAAGCUCGUAGUUGGAUUUCUGCUUGGGGCGACCGGUCCACCCUUCGGGUGAGUAUCUGGUGUGCUUUGGGCAUCCUCCUGGGGAACGUUGCUGCACUUGACUGUGUGGUGCGGAAUCUAGGACUUUUACUUUGAGGAAAUUAGAGUGUUCACUGCAGGCAUACGCCUUGAAUACAUUAGCAUGGAAUAAUAAGAUAGGGCCUCGGUUCUAUUUUGUCGGUUUCUAGAGCUGAGGUAAUGAUUAACAGGGAUAGUUGGGGGCAUUCGUAUUAACACGUCAGAGGUGGAAUUCUUAGAUUGUGUUACGACGAACUACUGCGAAAGCAUUUGCCAAGGAUGUUUUCAUUGAUCAAGAACGAAAGUAUGGGGAUCGAAGAUGAUCAGAUACCAU
rnacentral:rRNA from 1 species